rnacentral:rRNA from 1 species
AUUUGCCCGGACGGGCGCCGUCGAAGUUGACCUGGAAAGGCGCGUCGGAGAGGGUGAGAGCCCCGUGCGCGACGCCGCCCGGCCGGGCUGCCGCUGUCUUCGGAGAGUCGGGUUGUUUGGGAAUGCAGCCCAAAGAGGGUGGUAAACUCCAUCUAAAGCUAAAUACCGGCACGAGACCGAUAGCGAACAAGUACCGUGAGGGAAAGGUGAAAAGUACUUUGAAAAGAGAGUCAAAAAGACCGCGAAACCGUUAGGAGGGAAACGAAUGCAGCUGAAGCGGUUCCCCGUCAGGCUCAGGAGGAGGCGGAAGGGAGGCCGGCGGCGGGCGGAGGCCGGAACAGGCUCCGGUUCGCCGUCGGGUUUAUUCCCGCCGUCCACUCUGCACUUCUGCGGGGAGCCGGCCAACGGCAGUCGCCCCCGGCUCUGGAGGCGUUUCCGGGGGAGGUGGCCCCGCGCUCCGGCGCGGGGAGCGUACAGCCCCGGCGCCCGGCGGUCUGGGCAAAUGUAACGAAUGAAAGGCGACUGAGGAGAGACGAUGCGGUCCCUCGCACGUUGCGGCGCGGGCCUUUUCCUCCCCGUCUCGUUUUCCUUUUUCUCUCGGGGGAAGGGAAAAGCUGGGAUCGGGCGGAGGGCUGGGCCCGUCCCGUCUKGUGGGCGGCCGAGGCGGCCAGCGCACGUCGGUGGCCGUCGACGGACCUCGCUCCGCUUCCGGCGGGAGUCGGGUCACACCUUGCGCGCCGAGGUCGUUGGCGUCCGAAUGGCUGCAUCCGA